rnacentral:lncRNA from 1 species
UAUUCCGAGCACGAACACGCCGUGCUCCUCGGCGUACUCGAUGAAGCCGUCCGGGAACGACGGCGCGCCCGCGGCGUGGACGGAGUGGGGACCGCCGGAGAGGAUGACGACGCGGGGCUUCAGCUUGGCGAUGGCGUCGAGGGUGGAGGUGCCGGAGAUACACAGGGAGAGGACGGAGAGCUGCCGGAUUCGACGGGUGAUGAGGUGCGUGUACUGCGAGCCAUAGUCGAGGAUGAGGACGAGGUUGCCUACGCCGCCGGUGGCGACCCCGUUGGCGGUCCUCGAGUUGACGGCGGUUUCCAUCUCUCCGGCAGCGAAGGUUAGCGUUUACGGUGGGCGGCGAGAAAAGGAG